rnacentral:lncRNA from 1 species
GAAGACCGAAGAAUCUCGUAGCCGGAGCCUUUAACGACUACUUCGCCGUGACAAUUACAUUGCCUACGUGAACAGCUACUUCGCCUACGAUGGCUACAUCGUGUACGACUAUCUCGACUACUUUCUCUACAUCAUGACGCCGCACGUGUCCAACGUAUAACGAGCAACCGUCCCGUGAAACCACCGUUUUUUGGCAUAGACUAGUAGAUUGCGCGAUAUAUGCGAUAUAUGAACUGCAUGUGUUGUAUGAGAUGCCGU